CCCAUCUCCAAGAUGGCGGAGGCAGCUUCAACCUCACCUCUCGCGAGGGGUGCGUCCCACUGUCUCUGAUUAGCCCCGAGGUCAGAGGUGUUGAGCACUACUGUGGUGGCAGGCGUGAUGGUACAUCUGCGAAUAUCCAGUCUGCAUAUACUGAAGCUCACUAAUAAAUUAAUGGAUGAUAUUAAUAGCAGUGAUCUCAGAUGACAAUGCUAACACUGACUCCUGG